rnacentral:lncRNA from 1 species
UUUUUCUCUCUCUCCAAUUAUCUUCUCUCUCUUAAUUUUUCUCCCAAUUCUUCAUCUAUUUUAGAAUCUGAUCAUACCACGCUGUAGCAGAGGAGUUAAGGAACAUUUCUACCCGAUCAGAUUUUCAAACAGAGUAAGUUCAUUUUUACUCUAAAUAUCCUUUGUUCUCUGUUUUUCCUUAGGAUUUAGUCAUCAAUCUUGGUGGGGUCAGUUGAAAAGUUUAAUCCUCUCAACUUAUUCUAUUAUAUACUGAAUUUUUGUUCUGUUUGGAUAAUUUGCAUUAGGCCUGUAAAUCUUGAAGCUUAUCCAAACGGUGGGGAAUAAAAUUCUAAAAGUUGCUUGGAAAGCAAGCAAUUGAGGUAAGGGAAGCUAAAUUUAAUUUUUAAUAGCACCCUAGGAUAGAAGAUCUGAAUGCGGAAGGGACGUGGUCCCAAUAUUCAAUUUUUCUUGCAGGGAUGUUGUGUGUUUAUAUAUAUUGGGUUGUUUGUUUAUAUAUUAUUUAAAUUUGUGGAAAUAUUCGGUUUUGAUGAUUUAGUAUUAAAGUGUAUUUUUUUUUAUGUCAAAUAGACUUUUGAAUAUUUUGGAUCACUUUUUGAAUUAUAUUGUAUGACGAAAUGGUAUGGAAUUGAAUUCAUACAUUUGGGAUAAUGUAUGAACUGAUGUUAGUUGUGUAUUAAAUAUUGAUGUCGGGAUAAUGUAUGGACUGAUGUUUGUUGUGUAUUAAGUAUUGAUGCCUAUGUGGUAACAGAGAUCUCCGAGCUUCACUGAUGAUCUAAGUCACAUUGACUAAGAUAUCAGGUGGUGAGAAGCUGAUGGGGGAGUUCAUGCACACCGUGACAUAUGAGAUGCACGGCUUGGGUUGUAUUGAACUUACCCUGAUCCUUUCUGUUGGAUUCGCUGGUAAUCUUUGGAUCAGGUGUUAGUCUCUGGCAGGACUUACUUAAUAUGGGUCUUCCGGAAGAUGUUGUUUGUUGAAUAUUCUGGAUGUGUAGAUCCAUGUGAGAUCUAUGUGAUUGUUUAUUGUUGAGAUUUGAAGAAAAUUGAAUAAUUUGAUAAAUUGAUCAUGUAAUUUGGUUUUCUCUUUGGAUUUAAGUGUGUAUAUUAUAAAAUUCUAUUUUUAGUCGCUUACCCUUGCUUUUCUUACUGUGUUUGAACUGCGAUGACUGUACUAUGUACCCGAGCAGAUGACCAUACAGGUGCAGGAGAACCUUAGAGGUUACAGAGUUUUAUUUUGAGCUGUGAAUAUGUAAAUAUUUGUAUUUCUAUAAAUCCUAAUCAUGUAUUAGGAAUAUUUUGAAAAACUGUAAGCUUGUAUAGAAUUAUGUAGAACCGGUAUUGUAAUAGUUAUAUGUAAAUUAUGGGGUGUUACAAUAAUCAUUAGAAAUCU